rnacentral:rRNA from 1 species
AUUGAACGCUGGCGGCAGGCCUAACACAUGCAAGUCGAGCGGAUGAAGUGUGCUUGCUCCUGUCUUCAUCUUCGGACGGUUGAUUAAUUCCUAUGAAUCUGCCUGUUAUUUUUUUAUAACGUCCGGUAACGGGCGCUUAUACCGCAUACGUCCUUUUGCAGAUAUUGGGGGUUCUUCUUACCUCACGCUUUCAGAUGAUCCUAGGUCGGAUUAGCUAGUUGGUUUGGUAAAGUCCUACCAAGGCGACGAUCCGUAACUGGUCUGAGAGGAUGAUCAGUAACACUGGAACUGAGACACGGUAAAGAGUCCUACGGGAGGCAGCAGUGGGGAAUAUUGGACAAUGGGAGAAAGCAUGAUACAGCAAUGCCGAGUGUGUGAAGAAGGUCUACGGAUUGUAAAGAAAUGUAAGUUGGGAGGAAGGGAAGUAAGAUAAUAACUUGCUGUUUUGACGUUACCAAAAGAAUAAGCACCGGCUAACGUCGUG